AAUACAGUCUUUUGUAGUGGGGGAUUCUUCAGAGUGGUGUAGAUGCGUCUUUGUACAUCGCAUCUACACCACUCUGAAGAAUCCCCCACUACAAAAGACUGUAUU